AUGCUCCAGGGCACGGCCCGGACAUGGCUGAACAGCCUAAAGCCCCGCAGCAUCAAUAGCUGGGUCGACUUCACCGAAGCGUUCGUCCGCAACUUCACCAGCACGUACAAGCGUCCUCCCAAGCCUCGUCAGCUCUCCUUGUGCGUGCAAGGCCCCAACGAGUCGACUCGUGAUUACCUCACGCGUUGGGCCGAGCUUCGAAACUCCUGCGAGGGCGUGCACGAGGUGCAGGCCAUCGAGUACUUCACGGCCGGGUGCAGAGAAGGCACCCUCCUCAAGCACAAGCUCCUUUGCGACGAGCCAGAAACCCUUGACGAGCUGAUGAUCAUAGCGGACAAGUACACCACGGCCGACUCCUCCAUGAAGGCGGAAAUUCAAAUCAGCACGACUGGCAAAGUGGCUCCUCAAGCUCCAAGAACUCAGGCGGCAGACGCCGGCCGGCGACAACAGCAGGGCGACAACAAGCGCAAGGCCACGCAGCCGGCUUCCAGCAGCCGGCAGGUCGCGACCGUUGAAGCCCAGCAGCCAGAAGAGUAG
rnacentral:rRNA from 1 species